GUCUAUAAUCUAUAUGUAUAUUCAAACCAAACAAAAUUAUGUACUUAUUAAUAUUAACUGACCCUAUUUUAAUUGCAAAUUAUAUUUAGAAGAUACAAAUUUUUUUUUUACAAGACAUGAUGAAGAUGAUAAAUUUCCAACCAACAACGAAGUAUCCAAAGAAAUGCUCAACGAGGUGGACUUCGGAGUAAAUAUCGAAGUGGUCAACAAGUUAUUUGGGGCAACCAGUCGUAUGCCCAACCGUAUCGACGUCGUAGGUACCGGACCCCCAGACUUGAGGGUACUGUAAAAGUCCCUGAAGAUAGAACCCAAGAGGACCUCUCCGAUGGUAUUUAGAAGACGAAAUAGCAGCUGCUCGUGACAUUAUGAUGAAGAGAAAGCAAGAAAUAUACAAGGCAGAAAUGGAAAAGAACAUUAAAAUUGCUAAACAGAAAGAAAAUAGAAGACGACGAAGAAGGAAG